rnacentral:lncRNA from 1 species
CGGGCAUGGAGGGGUUAAAGAAGUGUGGUGGGAGAUGGGAGACUGGGGCUGGCUGUGCUCCUGGGAAAGAGCUGGGCCAGCUCAGAUAAUUAGAAGUGAACAUCAGUAAACAAUGCCUUUUCCCCUCAUUAAGGACAAAUCUGUAUGUAUAAUGUGCCUAUUUUCUCUUUCAUUAAUUUAUAAAUGGCCACUACUUUAAAGCCAUUUAGCCAGCAGUUGUGACUUGCCUGCCGGCUCAGGGUCUGACUCUUCUUUCCCUCCUUGUAGACAGAGGCGCCUGGGCACACAGCCCCCAGGGGGAAGUGGGUUCCUCAGCAACACCCUUUCCACAAGGAGCUCCUGCCUCCAGCCCCUCCACCCAACUAAUAUGGUGACUCCCUCAGACCUUGUCUGUGCCCUGGAGGAGCUGAGGACCCAGACUCCUCCUGUCACCAGCAGCAUCCCAGAAUGUACCCAAUCUGCAAGCAUCCUUCAAGAACAGCCAACCAGCUGGGACCAGAGACCCGAAGUGAGAUUCAUCUGCACAAAGCAGUGGCGAGAGAAAGGAAAGGGGAUGGAAAGGAAUACUGGAGUGCUCGUUUUGUGGCAGCGGGAGGCAUGCACAUUACCUGCUCUCAUCCACUCAAGCUCUCACUUAGAUGAUAUUUACCCUAUUCUACAAAGGAGAACUGAGGAUCCAGAGAGGUGAAUAACAGAGCCCACAGGCAGACAGCAGAAAAAAGAGAGAGGAAUCAAGGAGGAACCCUCCUCCCGGGAGGUGCUAAACCUCAAAUGCAGGAAGAUUUGGAGAGGCCAAAGGCGACUUGGCCAAGAACAAGCAACUUGCACAUGGAGAGGUUUGGAAAAAGACCCUGCCAGGCAACAUGCUUUCUACUUAGUUGGUCUGUAAAAUACACAUCAAACUGAUCAUAGCGGUCACUUCCAGUUGGGGUGGGUGUAAGCAGGUAGCAGAGUCAAAGGACACCUGGCUUUUGUAGGGUGACCACUUGUCCAGCUUUGCCCAGGAGCCCGUUCCCUGUUGCAAAUAUAACCUAGUAACCACCAGGGCUUUCACUCUCAGAUGUGUCCUUUCUGGUGAUAAAUUACAGAAGGGCCCUACUUAUCUGUAGCAUUUAUUUUUUUACACAGUAGGAUGUAUUAAUCAUCACUGUGUCACUUCUCCUAGUACAUAAACAGGAGGCAGAGUCCCGCUGCCGACCUCCAGGCCCCUAAUCCCACGCCUCAGAGGUAAAUAUCGGUACCAGUUUUCUAGCAUCCCUCCUGAGACUAUAAACCCAUAGAUAACCACGUAACCUGAAAACGCCG